CGGCCCUCGCGGGGGUGCAUUGUAGUUGCAUUGCAUGUGUCAGACUGGGAGUGCAAUGCCCCUGCCAUGCAGCCCGGCGGGGGUCCC
ensembl:miRNA gga-mir-33-2 gga-mir-33-2